UCCCUCUCUCCUCCCCACCGCUCCUGUCUCUGUCACUCACGGGGGCCGGGCAGGCUGGGGCAGCCAUGGCAGCAGCAGUAAUCUGGAUUCUUCUCCUUGUGGGUCUCUUGGCAGGGCUGGGGGACACGGAGGCCCAGCAGACCACCUUGCAGCCUCUUGUGGGCCGCGUCUUUGUGCACACCUUGGACCAGGAAACCUUCCCCAGUCUUUCUGAGCACGUUGAUGUCCCACCCACCGUCCCUAUCACCUACCACGCCCACCUCCAGGGACACCCAGACCUGCCUCGGUGGCUCCGUUACACCCAGCGCAGCCCCCACCAUCCUGGCUUCCUCUACGGCACCCCCACCCCAGAAGAUCGUGGGCGCCAGGUCAUCGAGGUCAUAGCGUACAAUCGGGACAGCUUUGACACCACCUGGCAGAGGCUGGUGCUGUUGAUUGGAGACCCAGAAGGCCCCCUGCUGCCUUACCAGGCUGAGUUCCUGGUUCGAAGCCACGAUGUGGAGGAAGUGCUGCCCUCGACGCCCGCCAGUCGCUUCCUCACAGCCUUGGGAGGGCUCUGGGAGUCAGGGGAGCUCCAGCUACUCAACGUUACCUCUGCCUUGGACCGUGGGGGUCGUGUCCCCCUUCCCAUUGAGGGUCGCAAGGAAGGGGUUUACAUCAAGGUGGGCUCGGCCUCACCCUUCUCCACCUGCCUGAAGAUGGUGGCAUCUCCCGACAGCCAUGCUCGUUGUGCCCAGGGCCAGCCUCCGCUUCUGUCCUGCUACGACACCUUGGCACCUCACUUUCGUGUGGACUGGUGCAAUGUGUCCUUGGUGGAUAAGUCAGUGCCAGAGCCUGCAGAUGACGUGCCCACCCCAGGCGAUGGGAUUCUGGAACAUGACCCGUUCUUCUGCCCACCCACUGAGGCCACGGCCCGAGACUUCCUCACUGACGCGCUGGUCACCCUCCUGGUGCCACUGUUGGUGGCUUUGCUACUCACCCUGCUGCUGGCCUACAUCAUGUGCUGCCGGCGGGAGGGACGGCUGAAGAGAGACCUGGCCACCUCUGACCUCCCCUUGCCUGGGAAUGGAAAAUUGUGUUUUGGACAACUCCGCUUGCCAAAUUCCAGACUCAAGAGCUCAUCUGGAUCCUACCCUGGCCUUCUAGGGUGACCCCGCCCCCUCCCGCCAACCAGACGGGACUUGGUCCUACUCCCCCACCCCCGAGGAGGAGUGUGGCCCGUUCGGCGUGAAGCUAGAGAGUCUGACCUGUCGUCUCAUCUGUCAGGUUCUAGCCGGAGUCUAGCUGGAGUCUAGCUCAGUCCACUAACUGAGACUUGGACAGGGGUGGGGGUCAUUGCCCCUUCCCCAUUUGAUCAGUAGCCCAGAGGCAAGUAGGGUAGCUUCCGCCCUGCCUAGGGCCCCAGCCCUUUAUUGUUUGUGAUGAAAGGUUCGUGCUGUCUCACCUGGCAACCAGUAGUCUGGGAAAAUAUCUCCAAGUUGGACUCACAAAUGUGGGUGGGUUCGUGGAAAGGGGCUUGGAAACGUCCCUUUACUGGAGGCUAAGCACAGCAGUGGGCCCGCUAUAACAAAACAACAUUGAUAAUUAUGAUAGCAACAGCAAGCUCCCUGUAAUAUUAGCUGCCGCUUGCCGUGAUGCUGACCGGGCGAGAUUUGUUUUCCCUGCAUUAACUCAUUUAAUUUGCACAGCAACCGCAUUACAGUCGGGGAAAUCGUGGCACAGAGAAGUUAAGUGACUUGCAUAAGGUCACACAGCCAGUAAGGAGUAGAACUCACAUUUGAACCCAAAGCAAGUCUUCGUGCUAGGUUGCAUUGUGCGACCCUCCUUCUCAGAGUGAACUAAAGCUUGCCCCAGACAGCGGAAAGCAAGCUCAUGAGACUUGUCAGAUGAGAACGAGGCUGAGCCUUCUGGGAAGAAACUGAGUUCAGGAAGGACGCGGGGAUUCCAGGCCCAUUGAGCCCGGGGCUUGGUGCAGGCCUCAAGGAGCCUUGGUCUGAAAUAAAGACAGAAAGAAGAGACUCGGUGUCCAGAGCUAGUUGGUGCUGGGGGCAGACUGGAGCAGGUUGGGAGGGGUCAAGGUACAAAGGCAGGGGAGGCUAGAUGGGAGGAGCCAGAAGAUGAGACUGUCAAGGCCAGCCAGGAGAGAGCUUGAGCAAAAGUGGGAGGUGGGAAGAGAGAGGGGGUAGGUUUGCCAGACUAAGACAGGGAUGAGGCGGGGAGGGCUGGACGGUCGGUGGUAGGAGAGAGUAUUAGGGGAGGGAGCUGAGUGCUGGAAGGGUCCUACAGGGUCAUCAGUAUAUAAAGCCCAGCAGGCACCGGCCUCUGGAAAUAAUAUAUCCACCGUGGGUACCUCUUCAUGUCUUAGCAUCCCGGAAGUUCUUACCAUGCUCCACGCGCUUUUCUAAAAACACUUUUCUCCCCUAAUUGCUGCUACAGCGCUAGAAGGUAGUCCUAUUAUUAUCAUCCCCAUUUUACAGUUGGGGAAACUGAGGUGCAGAGUGGUUAAGCAACUUGCCAGGGACACAGAGCUUUGAAUCCAGGCCGUCUGCAGCCACGGCUUCUGCUCCCAUGACUGGCCACUGAGCUGUCACCGAAGACCUUCCAGUUUGUCCUCCCCUCACCUGUCGUCAUCCAGAUGGUCCACCACUGCACGAUCCGCGGGAACACGGAGGAACUACGACAGAUGGCAUCCAGCCGUGAGGUGCCCCGGCCGCUUUCCACGCUGCCCAUGUUCAACGUGCGCACGGGCGAGCGGCUGCCCCCCCG